UCCUUUAAAGAUAGCGUAAUAGCUCACUGGUCUAGUGAUUUUGCGCGGAAAAUAUAACGGGGCUAAAAUAAGUACCGAAGUCGUAGACUUAGUUUUACUAAGUGGUAGGAGAGCGUUGUAUUUAGCGUUGAAGAUGUACCGGUAAGGAGCGUUGGAGCAAAUACAAGUGAGCAUGCAGGCAUGAGUAGCGUUAAAUCAGGUGAGAAUCCUGAUCGCCGAAAACCCAAGGUUUCCUACGCGAUGCUCGUCAUCGUAGGGUUAGUCGGGUCCUAAGCAAAGUCCGAAAGGGGUAUGCGAUGGAAAAUUGGUUAAUAUUCCAAUACCAAUUAUUAUGUGCGAUGGAAGGACGCUUAAAGUUAAUGGAGCUAACUGAUGGAAUAGUUAGUCUAAGGUCGUAGGUUGAGUUAUAGGCAAAUCCGUAACUCUUUAUCCAAAAGCUUAAAGGCUUACAAAGCUCUUCGGAGUAGCGUAAGAAUCCAUGAUACUAUAGAGCCAAGAAAAGUUUCUAAGUUUAGUAAUAAUUGCCCGUACCGUAAACCGACACAGGUGGGUGGGAUGAGUAUUCUAAGGCGCGUGGAAGAACUCUCUUUAAGGAACUCUGCAAAAUAGCACCGUAUCUUCGGUAUAAGGUGUGCCUACCAGGGUGCAAGCCCUAGAGGUUACAACAAAGAGUCCCUCCCGACUGUUUACCAAAAACACAGCACUCUGCUAACACGUAAGUGGAUGUAUAGGGUGUGACGCCUGCCCGGUGCUCGAAGGUUAAUUGAUGGAGUUAGCAUUAGCAAAGCUCUUGAUCGAAGCCCGAGUAAACGG
rnacentral:rRNA from 1 species